rnacentral:rRNA from 1 species
UACGGAGGGGGCUAGCGUUGUUCGGAAUUACUGGGCGUAAAGCGCACGUAGGCGGCUUUGUAAGUUAGAGGUGAAAGCCCGGGGCUCAACUCCGGAAUUGCCUUUAAGACUGCAUCGCUAGAAUUGUGGAGAGGUAAGUGGAAUUCCGAGUGUAGAGGUGAAAUUCGUAGAUAUUCGGAAGAACACCAGUGGCGAAGGCGACUUACUGGACACAUAUUGACGCUGAGGCACGAAGGUCAGGGGAGCAAACGGG